AAGAUUUUAAGUUAAUUAAACUAAUAGCCUUCAAAGCUUUAAAUAAAAAUUUUUUUUUUAAAUCUUA
rnacentral:tRNA from 1 species